rnacentral:rRNA from 1 species
AGCUAGCCUUUACAUCAAUUCAAUUAAACCUUAUAAAUCUAAUAUAUACUACAAUUUUUAAUCAAAACAUUCUCAACCUUUUAGUAUGGGUGACAGAACAAUAACCCCAGCGCAAUAGUUUAUGUACCGCAAGGGAAAGCUGAAAAAGAAAUGAAAUAAAUCAUUAAAGUACUAAAAAGCAGAGAUUAUACCUCGUACCUUUUGCAUCAUGAUUUAGCUAGAAAAACUAGGCAAAAAGAUCUUAAGUCUACCUCCCCGAAACUAAACGAGCUACUCCGAAGCAGCACUAUAGAGCUAACCCGUCUCUGUGGCAAAAGAGUGGGAAGACUUCCGAGUAGCGGUGAAAAGCCUACCGAGUUUAGUGAUAGCUGGUUACCCAAGAAAAGAACCUUAGUUCUGCAUUAAUUUUUCACUACCUAGACAAGACUUACUCGUCAUAGAAACCUAUAAGAAUUAAUAGUUAUUUAGAAGAGGUACAGCCCUUCUAAACAAAGAUACAACUUUUUAAGGUGGGAAAUGAUCAUAAUUAUUAAGGUUGCCAUCCCAGUGGGCCUAAAAGCAGCCACCUGUUAAGUAAGCGUCGCAGCUCUAAUCUAAUAAUUAAACCUUUAAUUCAGAUAUCCCUUCAUAACCCCCUUUAUCCUAUUGGGUUAUUUUAUAUUCCUAUAAAAGAACUUAUGCUAAAAUGAGUAAUAAAGAGAAUAAAUCUCUCCCGACACAAGUGUACGUCAGAAAGAAUUAAAUCACUGACAAUUAAACGACCCCAAACUGAGGUCAUUAUACCACUUAACCAUUAACUAGAAAAUCCUAUUUUUCUACUCGUUA